rnacentral:rRNA from 1 species
UACAGAGGUGCCAAGCGUUAGGCGGAAUCACUGGGCUUAAAGCGCGUGUAGGUGGACGGGUAAGCAUCUUGUGAAAUCCCACGGCUCAACCGUGGAACUGCUGGAUAUACUGCUUGUCUUGAGGCACUUAGGGGCGAGCUGGAACAAAUGGUGGAGCGGUGAAAUGCGUAGAUAUCAUUUGGAACGCCAAAGGCGAAAGCAGGCUGCUGGGAGUGAUCUGACACUGAGACGCGAAAGCCAGGGGAGCAAACGGGG